UUUUUUUUUUUUUUUUUUUUUUUGCUUUUCUCCUCUCCCCCCCUCUGGGACUGAGACACCUCCUCCUCUUCCCCCUAUUCCACUUCCACUUCUAAUUCCAGUUCCUCCCGCCGCUACAAUUCCUUCCAUGCCCGCCAUGGAAAUAACGGAUCCCCUAACCCUAACUCCACUUUGGGUGAUUUAUAAAAAAAAAAAAAACAAUAAAUAAAGAGAGACAGUCGGUCCAACCCUCGGCAUAAACGACAGCGUUACUCCUCUUUUUGCAGAGGAGAGGGGGUGAGGGUGAGGGACAGAAAAAAAUUUUUUGAGGUGAUCGGCGCCGGUACAGGUGGUGGAGGUGGUAGCUGGCAUGGUGGGUUGGAUGAGGGAGGAAAAAGAAGAAAAGUUUUUGGAAAAUUUUUUGUGUAUUAGAUUUUUGAAGUGUGUAGGGAAAAAACUUUAAAAAGUUUUUUGGGAUUCCUGUAGCAAAAGUUGUUAAAAAACUAGUAGGUAAAAAACUUGGUCAAAAAACUCACUUCCAAACAGGCCCUAUAUUUCGUUAUGCACUUCUUGGUGUAUGUAAUUUAGCCCUAAAAGGGUUGGACCAUUUGAGGCCUUCAUUAAUAUUCUCAAUUUCACAUGUUUAAAUGAUAAAAUUAUAAUUUAUCCAAUAUGUUGGUAUUACUACUUACAGAUUACAUCUCAACCACAUUAUUAACCUUCUAAUUUCAAUAUUUUUUAACAAGAUUACAACAAAGCCACCAUGUCGUGGGUCAGAUUUACAACUAAAUAUUUACACAUGAUGUUUUUUUUUUUUUUUUUUUUGUCGACAGUGGGUAUCUGGGUUCGUGGACUGGUUACCGUACGACCCAACUAAUCCCACUACGAGCUGGGAGAGGCCUGCCCCAAGUAUCACCAGCCACGGUAGAACCGGGAUUCGAUCCCUGGACGUGACUCUCCCCCAACUGGGACUACAACCACGGGACCAAACCCGGAGGGGCUUACACAUGAUGUAUUUGAUGGUCAUUAAAAUAGAAGGUACUGUUAAAGACAGUGAUUAAUCAAUGAAAGAUGGUCAGAAGUGUCUCCAUGAGUCAAAUACAACAUGUUGUGAAAAUUAAAUAUAAAAUGAGAAAUUGAUUCAAGAAGGGCUCGAUUAGAGCAAAUGCUCAAUUUAGAAGCUAAAACGAAACUGAGAGUAUAGUUUCAAAGUUUUUCUGAUCGGUGGACAAUACAUUCUGGUUAACAGGAUCCUCGGGCCUUAAUUUUUUUUGUAAAACUGAAGUCAAAUAAAAAAAAAAAAUGUAUCCAAAAUGGGAAAGAGAUAGUAAAUAUAAACUGGAAACAGCUACCAUGCGUUUAUGACAUAAAGAUAUUGUAUUCCUCUAUCAAUUAAUUAUAUAGGAAGGUUGCUUAUUCUCUUUUAUUUUAUUUUAUUUCCUUUUCUUUUUUUUUUUUGUCGAAGAAGAAAGCUUAUUCGUAUGUUUGAUAGAUGGCACAAACGCAAGCAUUUCUAGCAUCAAUAAGCCCUCAUGGAGAAAAAAAAAGGCCACUUAUUGGAUGAGAAAAAGCUGACUGAAAAUGUCAAGUCUCAUUUCCUUCUCACAAAGAUUCUGAGUUACUUUCUGCUGAAACUUGAAUGAGUGUUUGAAAGUAUACACAGCAAAGCCAAUAAUGCUCCCGCGAAACAGGAAUAAUGAUCUACAAAUAAUAUUCCUUUAAUUGCAUUUUCUCUUCUCCGGAAAAUCCAAAAAGAAUCCUAAUCCCAUUUACAUCUACAUGGACGCACAUAAAGGCUCAUUUCUCAGUAUAUUGCUUAAAACAAAGUCAGUCUUGGAGACAUUUAUUUUAGCAAUAUACUGAGAAAUUAGCCAUACAAAAAUGUCUCGGGUGUCCCUCCUCCCCUCCUCUCUCUCUCUCCCACCCCCCCCCUCCGGGCCCCUGCGGGAGGAAAAAAAAAACCUCAAAACCAAAACCUCCACCUCAAAACUACUUUGAUCACAAAGGCUGACGCUGCAGCCUAUGCACUUAAGCCGUUGCUGACAAGCCUAAUGUUCUCACCUUCUUUGCAGGUUAAAACAAAAAAAAUUAUACAUAUAAAGUAGGGAUUGAUGGCACUAUAAAAUCUUAUUUGAGACCAAGAAACUCCAAUCCUACAGCUGAAGGCAUCAAACCAUAUUUAGAGAGAUAUCCAACAUCAUAAAACUUACUAAGAUGCCUCAUCCCACUGUCACAAAGAAUUGUCACAAUGGUGUGACCUGGACCAAGUGCUUGCGCCACUCUAACAGCCCCCACACAGUUCAUAGCAGAAGAACUCCCGAGAAAGAGGC
rnacentral:lncRNA from 1 species